CGGACGGGUAAGUAACACGUAAGGAUUUGCCUUUAGGUGGGGGACAACAACUGGAAACGGUUGCUAAUACCCCAUAUGCUUUCGAGUGAAAUAGAUUUCCGGCUAAAGAGAAGCUUGCGGUUGAUUAGCUUGUUGGUAGGGUAAUGGCCUACCAAGGCGACGAUCAGUAUCUGGUUUGAGAGGACGAUCAGACACACUGGAACUGAGACACGGUCCAGACUCCUACGGGAGGAAGCAGUAGGGAAAUUUCCGCAAUGGGCGAAACCCUGACGGAGCAAUACCGCGUGAGGGAUGACUGCCUAUGGGUUGUAAACCUCUUUUUUCAGGGAGGAAUAAAUGACGUGUACCUGAAGAAUAAGCAUCGGCUAACUCCGUGCCUGCAGCCGCGGUGAGACGGAGGAUUCAAGUGUUAUCCGGAAUCACUGGGCGUAAAGCGUCUGUAGGUGGCUCGACAAGUCAACUGUUAAAUCUUGAAGCUCAACUUCGAAAUCGCAGUCGAAACUAUCGAACUAGAGUAUAGUAGAGGUAAAGGGAAUUUCCAGUGGUGCGGUGAAAUGCGUAGAGACUGGGAAGAACACCGAUGGCGAAGGCACUUUACUGGGCUAUUACUGACACUCAGAGACGAAAGCUAGGGUAGCAAAUGGGAUUAGAUACCCCAGUAGUC
rnacentral:rRNA from 1 species